CAGUCGCCGCGGGAAUACGGAGGGUGCAAGCGUUAAUCGGAAUUACUGGGCGUAAAGCGUGCGUAGGCGGUUCGUUAAGUCUGUUGUGAAAGCCCCGGGCUCAACCUGGGAAUGGCAAUGGAUACUGGCGAGCUAGAGUGUGUCAGAGGAUGGUGGAAUUCCCGGUGUAGCGGUGAAAUGCGUAGAGAUCGGGAGGAACAUCAGUGGCGAAGGCGGCCAUCUGGGACAACACUGACGCUGAGGCACGAAAGCGUGGGGAGCAAGCAGGAUUAGAUACCCCUGUAGUCCCUGUCUCUUAUAC
rnacentral:rRNA from 1 species